rnacentral:lncRNA from 1 species
CUUUGGUAAAUUAAAACUUUUAUACAUUAACAUCGUAAUUAAACCCGAUAAUUUUAAAUUAGGGUUUUCUAUAGAAAAUUAGGGUUUUCUAAUUAGGGUUUCUUAACGCCAUCAAUUAGGGUUUCUAAUUGACCAUUAGGGUUCUCUAAUUAUCUGUGUAUGUUCUAACACAGUCAUUACGAUCUCUAACUUCAACCGAUUAGGGUUGUAAUAAUUAGGGUUUGUCCUAAUUAUCGACAUACAACAGUAAUUAGGGUUUUCUUCUAAUUAUCGACAUCUUAUACACAGUAACCUUCAUAUACACAGUCACUACUCAGUCAUAUCUCAUAACUGAGUUAAAUAAUUAGGGUUUCUCAGCACGGUAAUAUGCUAUGACCUAAUUGACCGUCAUUGCACAAUAUUAUC